AUAUCUGACAUACCAGAUCGUCUUGA
rnacentral:tRNA from 1 species